UUGACUCCAGUGCGGGCAGCUGUGGUCGAGCACCUGCUAACAAGAAUAUUUCCCCCCGAACCAGGCCACCCAGCUCUCAAACCUGAUCUCUUGUUCCGGAUUGAACGCGGGGAACACCCAGGUGUUGGGGUUCAGCUGGUCUCUGGUGGCUUAGAGCGUCCGCCAGACCCCUGCGCAGGCUACGGCUUUUUCAAGCCUGAUGGUUUAUUCCGUAUUGAGCAAUGGGAGGAGCGAUACAUCGAGGCUCAGCAGAAACUGGAGGAGCGCAAGAUCCACGGAAGUGCCUGCGUAGAGCCCGGGGGUGUGAACCCAGUCGAGCAGGAGAACGCGGAGAGCUUUGCUGCCGACUUGGAGCUGUCCCCCGUGGUCUGUGACAGUUCCGACGGCUCCUUCCACAGUCGGCAGCUGGGGUCCAAGAGGCAGCAGA
rnacentral:lncRNA from 1 species